CCUACGGGAGGCAGCAGUGAGGAAUAUUGGUCAAUGGGCGGGAGCCUGAACCAGCGAAGUCGCGUGAAGGAAGAAGGUCCUUAGUAUUGUAAGCUUCUUUUGUCGGGGAACAAAGGCGGAGACGCGUCUCCGGAUGAGUGUACCCGAAGAAAAAGCAUCGGCUAACUCCGUGCCAGCAGCCGCGGUAAUACGGAGGAUGCGAGCGUUAUCCGGAUUUAUUGGGUUAAAAGGGUGCGCAGGCGGGAGAUCAAGUCAGCGGUAAAGUGUCGGGGCUCAACCCCGGCCGGCCUUGGAAACUGGUUUUCUAGAGUUGGAGAGAGGUAUGCGGAAUUCGUGGUGUAGCGGUGAAAUGCAUAGAUAUAACGAAGAACUCCGAUGGCGAAGGCAGCAUACUGGCUCCAUACUGACGCUGAGGCACGAAAGCGUGGGGAGCGAACAGGAUUAGAUACCCGGGUAGUC
rnacentral:rRNA from 1 species